GGCUGACCAAGCGAGCCCCUGCCAUGGGGCCCCGCACAUCUGUUCCACACUGGGAUUUUUUCAGCCUGCCCUCAACCUACUGAGAUGUGGCUCGGGUGGAGGGGCGUUCCGAGGGUACGCACCCUCAACCCCGGACUUUCGACUCCAAGCAGAAUUUUCAAAGAAUAAAACGUCUAAGUCCAAAGAGCAGGCUCCCCUGGACUCGGUUAGAAGCCUAGCCCCCGGUCGAUGGCUACGCGCCAAGGAGGGCCUUUUCCCUCCCACCUGUGGGGAGCAGAGUCCCCACUUCCAGGGCUGACGCCACACAGGAGUGUUCACCAAAGCAGGGUACCACCCGGCAACCCAGAAGCCAGUCGCGGAAGCGGCUUUCUCCAGUGAAAUUCUUCUUUCCCGGGGGUUGAUGACUCCAACUCUAAAGACUCCUGCCUCCCCCUUCCCAGCCCCCCGCCUUGCAUCCCACUCGCAUUUUCCUGAGGCUCACUGACUGUAGGAAAACAAGUAUCGCAUUAUGCUGGACUCCCUGGAAUGAGAUCAGUUCUAGUUUCAAAUUCCUUGCCGAACAAGCCCAAGGCCACAGACCCGGUACAAAUCCCAGCUGCUCGGCGGGGCAGAAGGCCUGAGCGAGCUCAAGAAAGCACGACUGAAGUCGUGACCGGCAAACGCAUCCUAAACCUGGACCGGCUUCCUCCCAGGUCUGGUCCGCAGCGCGGGGCGCAAACACGUCUGUAAAGGACCCGGUCUCGGCUCCUCCUCCCGAGGCAGCACGGCCAAGGCGAGGCUGCAGUGUGGCGCUGGGCUGCGAUUUUCUACAACUCGCACCAUCUGUGCGUGCCCUGCCAGACGUGCUGACAGAGCAGGCUGCAUAGACCAUUACUAAUCUACCGGGGUCGGCGGGGUCAGGCCUGCAACAUGAGGCCUAUAGAUUUCAAAGGCCGGCCUUCCCCCCACGCCAGCUCAUCAAUCUAGGCUGAAAAGCAACCACAUUUUUAUCCUUCUUUUAAAUUUCAAAGAAAAAAUUCUCAUCUUCGAGUUUAGCGUGGGGGAUCGCUUGCACGUCAUCGGUGUCCCGAGACCAGCUGAGGGGUAGAUCUGCGGGGCCGGAGGCUCAGCCGUUGAUCCUCUUCCAAAAUUGGGUGACCAGGCCAGGGGGACGACUUUCCUCGCGCACACAAAGCCUUCAGAGCGGCAGCGUAGAGGAAGGCCAACACGGAGCAAGAUUCAGACUCCACUGCUGCCAGGCACCGCCCCUAAGGGGAGUCUGCAGAAGAACAGUAAAUGCCAAAGACGAUCCUAUCAGGACAGUACCGUGGGAGCCCAGGCAGUGCAAUUCGGGCUGGUGAACAAAAACACAGCCUCACCUCCCAUCCAUCUCAGAAUUCACCCAAGAGGCCCGCAACUGCCAGCAGCUGCCGAUCAAGUGUUUACUGAACGCCUACUGCGUGCCAAGAGCUAUGGAAUAAGCAAGUGUCGUGCUCAGCUCUAUACUGGCCCAGGGCCCCGUGGAAACAGGAAGUCAGUCCCACCUUCAAAAGGCCAUUGGGUAGCAACGGCAUGAUUUCAGGUGUACUACGGUAACUAAAAAAUCUUAGGUUGUUUCAUAAAUGCAACUUUUGGUGUGUCAAGACCAACUACUGUCAUCAUUUCUUGACAGAUGGUAUGUUAUUCUAGGUCUUCAAGUCAAACGAUGACUCAAUCUGCCAAGAGUCCACCAAUCACCACAAAACUAAGACAUCACUCACUGCAAACUCCAAAGAAACCAGAUCUUUAUUUACAAUGAUUAAAGGCUUAAGGAAAUUAAGAUACAAUGCACACCAUAGACCACAAGAGGAAGGACCACAUGCCUGGCAACAGGAAAAUUCCUGGAGGCUCGUGACAAACACCAAUGGCCCUGGGGUGGAUUUAGACAUGGAAUGAAUACUUGGAAUCCUAGAAACAAAGAGGGAGAAUCUGGGAAAUUCGGUUUCCUGAGUGUUAGCAUCUCACAGGCCAUUAAUGGGAAAUGGCUUCGCUUCACUCACAUCAGAGCCACGUAUUGUUUUUUGGUUUUUGGGUUUUUUUUUUUGUAACCCUUUUCCCAUCUCUAAUGUAGGAUCUAGUGCAGAUGCUACAAUUUGGGGCCAACUUUUGGUUAGUAAAGCUCUAGGCCAAAUUAUUUUCUUCGUUCUCCAGUUCAACUAUGGUUUAGGCAAGCCCCACCCUGACACCCUGCAAACCUGCGACCCCAACUAUAAACAGGGAGGGCUAAGAUCUACUCUUUUACUCACUGACCUCUCCUCCUCCCUGCUCUGGGCUGUCCAUACUCUUCCUGCAAACAACCGGUAGACAGGUAAAGACAAAUGUCCCCCCACCCACCCACCCCCCGCCAUGACUGGCCAUGACUCCUCCUCUAAUUCUGGCUCCUGUGUGAUUUUUCCCAAGGGACCUCCUCACGGCACAGCUUAUCUGAUGUAGAUCUGACCCCAGCUCUGGCCCAGCCUCUUCCACCCACCCCUGGACUGCCAUUACCAGACAACAGCCUUGUAGGGAUCCUCUAACAAGAUGGAUCAAGACCAUCUACCAUUUGCAGUGUUCCCUUCACCCUUAGAGAACUCCCAUGCUCCUGCCAAACUAAACAGAGAAUACAUGUGAGCUACCCGGCUGGGAGCCCCCUCUCCUGUUGUGCCUCACAGUUCUUUCCGCCCCAGCCCAGACAAGCACAGGGGUAGUCAGGCAUGUCAGCCUGAGCAGACAUUCAACCAGGAAAUCCAACAUCAGCUUUGGCAUUCUUGCAGGCACCCCCAUCUCUAUGGGUGAGUCUUUCAGAAUUCUCCCUGUCACCUCUGAUAUAAAGCUGAUGAGCCUUUCUCCUCACUUCCCCAGUGUUCUGCGCAGGCUAGAAAAGAAAGGGGGUGAUAACUGCUGGCAAGAGGGAAAUUUUGUUUUCUCUUAGUAAAAGCUCUUUGGGGAGCUGUCUGGCCUCAGAUAGACAUGGCUCUCAUCAGAUCACACGGUCUCCAGGUAUUUUAGUUCAACGUGAGCCAGAAGCACGUAUUUAUUCUAAGACAGCAGAGAAAUCUGACAACAAUUACCAACAAGUUAAUAGUACAGAAUCACCCAACUACCCACUGACUUUUUAAUUUUGUAGUAUUUACUUACUUUAAGAGAGACGCAAAGAGCAUGAGCAGGGGAGAGACAGAGUGAGAGCAGAAUCUGAAGCAGGCCCCAGACUGAGCUGUGAGCAUAGAGCCAGAUACAGAGCUCGAACCCACAAACCUCAAGAUCAUGACCUGAGUCCAAGUUACACACUGAACCGACUGAGCCACCCAGGUGCCCCAUUUAAAAAUAGAAGCAGUAAUACGAACUCUUGGG